rnacentral:lncRNA from 1 species
CCGUUUUGACCCUCAAACGGGCUGCGGAAAGUUAUGGCACGUAAAAAAGAUCGAAAGCGGAUUCUCAAGGUGUUUUUGAUGCUUUCUUAACGCCGUUAACCUCGAUGCACUUUUUCGCUCGAAACAAAACGGCAAGAAAAUCAUGUGGGCCCCACGGCCUUACACUUGGAUUGGCCGGGGAAAGGAUAUAUAGAAACGAGAGUGAUGUACUGACGGGUGCGAUCAUACCAGCACUAAUGCACCGGAUCCCAUCAGAACUCCGCAGUGAAGCGUGCUUGGGCGAGAGUAGUACUAGGAUGGGUGACCUCCCGGGAAGUCCUCGUGUUGCACCCCUUUUUAUUUUAUAAUUUUUUUUUAGCCUAAAACGAGUCUAAACUUGAAAACCUCAUAACUUUUGAACCGUGAGGAACUACGUCGCCCAUAGCACCAUUGAGAAAGCCCCAGAAACCAUAAUGGGCGGUGAAUAGGGGGCGCAAUUUUUCGGGCUCAAAUUCAGCCGUUUUGACCCUCAAACGGGCUGCGGAAAGUUAUGGCACGUAAAAAAGAUCGAAAGCGGAUUCUCAAGGUGUUUUUGAUGCUUUCUUAACGCCGUUAACCUCGAUGCACUUUUUCGCUCGAAACAAAACGGCAAGAAAAUCAUGCGCGCCCCACGGCCUUACACUUGGAUUGGCCGCGAAAAGGAUAUAUAGAAACGAGAGUGAUGUACUGACGGGUGCGAUCAUACCAGCACUAAUGCACCGGAUCCCAUCAGAACUCCGCAGUUAAGCGUGCUUGGGCGAGAGUAGUAGUACUAGGAUGGGUGACCUCCCGGGAAGUCCUCGUGUUGCACCCCUUUUUAUUUUUUAAUUUUUUUUUAGCCUAAAACGAGUCUAAACUUGAAAACCUCAUAACUUUUGAACCGUGAGGAACUACGUCGCCCAUAGCACCAUUUCGGAAAGCCCCAGAAACCAUAAUGGGCGGUGAAUAGGGGGCGCAAUUUUUCGGGCUCAAAUUCAGCCGUUUUGACCCUCAAACGGGCUGCGGAAAGUUAUGGCACGUAAAAAAGAUCGAAAGCGGAUUCUCAAGGUGUUUUUGAUGCUUUCUUAACGCCGUUAACCUCGAUGCACUUUUUCGCUCGAAACAAAACGGCAAGAAAAUCAUGCGCGCCCACGGCCUUACACUUGGAUUGGCCGCGAAAAGGAUAUAUAGAAACGAGAGUGAUGUACUGACGGGUGCGAUCAUACCAGCACUAAUGCACCGGAUCCCAUCAGAACUCCGCAGCUAAGCGUGCUUGGGCGAGAGUAGUACUAGGAUGGGUGACCUCCCGGGAAGUCCUCGUGUUGCACCCCUUUUAUUUUUUAAUUUUUUUUUAGCCUAAAACGAGUCUAAACUUGAAAACCCCAUAACUUUUGAACCGUGAGGAACUACGUCGCCCAUAGCACCAUUUCGGAAAGCCCCAGAAACCAUAAUGGGCGGUGAAUAGGGGGCGCAAUUUUUCGGGCUCAAAUUCAGCCGUUUUGACCCUCAAACGGGCUGCGGAAAGUUAUGGCACGUAAAAAAGAUCGAAAGCGGAUUCUCAAGGUGUUUUUGAUGCUUUCUUAACGCCGUUAACCUCGAUGCACUUUUUCGCUCGAAACAAAACGGCAAGAAAAUCAUGCGCGCCCCACGGCCUUACACUUGGAUUGGCCGCGAAAAGGAUAUAUAGAAACGAGAGUGAUGUACUGACGGGUGCGAUCAUACCAGCACUAAUGCACCGGAUCCCAUCAGAACUCCGCAGUUAAGCGUGCUUGGGCGAGAGUAGUACUAGGAUGGGUGACCUCCCGGGAAGUCCUCGUGUUGCACCCCUUUUUAUUUUUUAAUUUUUUUUUAGCCUAAAACGAGUCUAAACUUGAAAACCUCAUAACUUUUGAACCGUGAGGAACUACGUCGCCCAUAGCACCAUUUCGGAGAGCCCCAGAAACCAUAAUGGGCGGUGAAUAGGGGGGGCGCAAUUUUUCGGGCUCAAAUUCAGCCGUUUUGACCCUCAAACGGGCUGCGGAAAGUUAUGGCACGUAAAAAAGAUCGAAAGCGGAUUCUCAAGGUGUUUUUGAUGCUUUCUUAACGCCGUUAACCUCGAUGCACUUUUUCGCUCGAAACAAAACGGCAAGAAAAUCAUGCGCGCCCCACGGCCUUACACUUGGAUUGGCCGCGAAAAGGAUAUAUAGAAACGAGAGUGAUGUACUGACGGGUGCGAUCAUACCAGCACUAAUGCACCGGAUCCCAUCAGAACUCCGCAGUUAAGCGUGCUUGGGCGAGAGUAGUACUAGGAUGGGUGACCUCCCGGGAAGUCCUCGUGUUGCACCCCUUUUUAUUUUUAAUUUUUUUUUAGCCUAAAACGAGUCUAAACUUGAAAACCUCAUAACUUUUGAACCGUGAGGAACUACGUCGCCCAUAGCACCAUUUCGGAGAGCCCCAGAAACCAUAAUGGGCGGUGAAUAGGGGGCGCAAUUUUUCGGGCUCAAAUUCAGCCGUUUUGACCCUCAAACGGGCUGCGGAAAGUUAUGGCACGUAAAAAAGAUCGAAAGCGGAUUCUCAAGGUGUUUUUGAUGCUUUCUUAACGCCGUUAACCUCGAUGCACUUUUUCGCUCGAAACAAAACGGCAAGAAAAUCAUGCGCGCCCCACGGCCUUACACUUGGAUUGGCCGCGAAAAGGAUAUAUAGAAACGAGAGUGAUGUACUGACGGGUGCGAUCAUACCAGCACUAAUGCACCGGAUCCCAUCAGAACUCCGCAGUUAAGCGUGCUUGGGCGAGAGUAGUACUAGGAUGGGUGACCUCCCGGGAAGUCCUCGUGUUGCACCCCUUUUUAUUUUUUAAUUUUUUUUAGCCUAAAACGAGUCUAAACUUGAAAACCUCAUAACUUUUGAACCGUGAGGAACUACGUCGCCCAUAGCACCAUUUCGGAGAGCCCCAGAAACCAUAAUGGGCGGUGAAUAGGGGGCGCAAUUUUUCGGGCUCAAAUUCAGCCGUUUUGACCCUCAAACGGGCUGCGGAAAGUUAUGGCACGUAAAAAAGAUCGAAAGCGGAUUCUCAAGGUGUUUUUGAUGCUUUCUUAACGCCGUUAACCUCGAUGCACUUUUUCGCUCGAAACAAAACGGCAAGAAAAUCAUGCGCGCCCCACGGCCUUACACUUGGAUUGGCCGCGAAAAGGAUAUAUAGAAACGAGAGUGAUGUACUGACGGGUGCGAUCAUACCAGCACUAAUGCACCGGAUCCCAUCAGAACUCCGCAGUUAAGCGUGCUUGGGCGAGAGUAGUACUAGGAUGGGUGACCUCCGGGAAGUCCUCGUGUUGCACCCCUUUUUAUUUUUUAAUUUUUUUUAGCCUAAAACGAGUCUAAACUUGAAAACCUCAUAACUUUUGAACCGUGAGGAACUACGUCGCCCAUAGCACCAUUUCGGAGAGCCCCAGAAACCAUAAUGGGCGGUGAAUAGGGGGCGCAAUUUUUCGGGCUCAAAUUCAGCCGUUUUGACCCUCAAACGGGCUGCGGAAAGUUAUGGCACGUAAAAAAGAUCGAAAGCGGAUUCUCAAGGUGUUUUUGAUGCUUUCUUAACGCCGUUAACCUCGAUGCACUUUUUCGCUCGAAACAAAACGGCAAGAAAAUCAUGCGCGCCCCACGGCCUUACACUUGGAUUGGCCGCGAAAAGGAUAUAUAGAAACGAGAGUGAUGUACUGACGGGUGCGAUCAUACCAGCACUAAUGCACCGGAUCCCAUCAGAACUCCGCAGUUAAGCGUGCUUGGGCGAGAGUAGUACUAGGAUGGGUGACCUCCCGGGAAGUCCUCGUGUUGCACCCCUUUUUAUUUUUUAAUUUUUUUUUGCCUAAAACGAGUCUAAACUUGAAAACCUCAUAACUUUUGAACCGUGAGGAACUACGUCGCCCAUAGCACCAUUUCGGAGAGCCCCAGAAACCAUAAUGGGCGGUGAAUAGGGGGCGCAAUUUUUCGGGCUCAAAUUCAGCCGUUUUGACCCUCAAACGGGCUGCGGAAAGUUAUGGCACGUAAAAAAGAUCGAAAGCGGAUUCUCAAGGUGUUUUUGAUGCUUUCUUAACGCCGUUAACCUCGAUGCACUUUUUCGCUCGAAACAAAACGGCAAGAAAAUCAUGCGCGCCCCACGGCCUUACACUUGGAUUGGCCGCGAAAAGGAUAUAUAGAAACGAGAGUGAUGUACUGACGGGUGCGAUCAUACCAGCACUAAUGCACCGGAUCCCAUCAGAACUCCGCAGUUAAGCGUGCUUGGGCGAGAGUAGUACUAGGAUGGGUGACCUCCCGGGAAGUCCUCGUGUUGCACCCCUUUUUAUUUUUUAAUUUUUUUUUAGCCUAAAACGAGUCUAAACUUGAAAACCUCAUAACUUUUGAACCGUGAGGAACUACGUCGCCCAUAGCACCAUUUCGGAAAGCCCCAGAAACCAUAAUGGGCGGUGAAUAGGGGGCGCAAUUUUUCGGGCUCAAAUUCAGCCCGUUUUGACCCUCAAACGGGCUGCGGAAAGUUAUGGCACGUAAAAAAGAUCGAAAGCGGAUUCUCAAGGUGUUUUUGAUGCUUUCUUAACGCCGUUAACCUCGAUGCACUUUUUCGCUCGAAACAAAACGGCAAGAAAAUCAUGCGCGCCCCACGGCCUUACACUUGGAUUGGCCGCGAAAAGGAUAUAUAGAAACGAGAGUGAUGUACUGACGGGUGCGAUCAUACCAGCACUAAUGCACCGGAUCCCAUCAGAACUCCGCAGUUAAGCGUGCUUGGGCGAGAGUAGUACUAGGAUGGGUGACCUCCCGGGAAGUCCUCGUGUUGCACCCCUUUUUAUUUUUUAAUUUUUUUUAGCCUAAAACGAGUCUAAACUUGAAAACCUCAUAACUUUUGAACCGUGAGGAACUACGUCGCCCAUAGCACCAUUUCGGAGCCCCAGAAACCAUAAUGGGCGGGUGAAUAGGGGGCGCAAUUUUUCGGGCUCAAAUUCAGCCGUUUUGACCCUCAAACGGGCUGCGGAAAGUUAUGGCACGUAAAAAAGAUCGAAAGCGGAUUCUCAAGGUGUUUUUGAUGCUUUCUUAACGCCGUUAACCUCGAUGCACUUUUUCGCUCGAAACAAAACGGCAAGAAAAUCAUGCGCGCCCCACGGCCUUACACUUGGAUUGGCCGCGAAAAGGAUAUAUAGAAACGAGAGUGAUGUACUGACGGGUGCGAUCAUACCAGCACUAAUGCACCGGAUCCCAUCAGAACUCCGCAGUUAAGCGUGCUUGGGCGAGAGUAGUACUAGGAUGGGUGACCUCCCGGGAAGUCCUCGUGUUGCACCCCUUUUUAUUUUUUAAUUUUUUUUUAGCCUAAAACGAGUCUAAACUUGAAAACCUCAUAACUUUUGAACCGUGAGGAACUACGUCGCCCAUAGCACCAUUUCGGAGAGCCCCAGAAACCAUAAUGGGCGGUGAAUAGGGGGCGCAAUUUUUCGGGCUCAAAUUCAGCCGUUUUGACCCUCAAACGGGCUGCGGAAAGUUAUGGCACGUAAAAAAGAUCGAAAGCGGAUUCUCAAGGUGUUUUUGAUGCUUUCUUAACGCCGUUAACCUCGAUGCACUUUUUCGCUCGAAACAAAACGGCAAGAAAAUCAUGCGCGCCCCACGGCCUUACACUUGGAUUGGCCGCGAAAAGGAUAUAUAGAAACGAGAGUGAUGUACUGACGGGUGCGAUCAUACCAGCACUAAUGCACCGGAUCCCAUCAGAACUCCGCAGUUAAGCGUGCUUGGGCGAGAGUAGUACUAGGAUGGGUGACCUCCCGGGAAGUCCUCGUGUUGCACCCCUUUUUAUUUUUUAAUUUUUUUUUAGCCUAAAACGAGUCUAAACUUGAAAACCUCAUAACUUUUGAACCGUGAGGAACUACGUCGCCCAUAGCACCAUUUCGGAGAGCCCCAGAAACCAUAAUGGGCGGUGAAUAGGGGGCGCAAUUUUUCGGGCUCAAAUUCAGCCGUUUUGACCCUCAAACGGGCUGCGGAAAGUUAUGGCACGUAAAAAAGAUCGAAAGCGGAUUCUCAAGGUGUUUUUGAUGCUUUCUUAACGCCGUUAACCUCGAUGCACUUUUUCGCUCGAAACAAAACGGCAAGAAAAUCAUGCGCGCCCCACGGCCUUACACUUGGAUUGGCCGCGAAAAGGAUAUAUAGAAACGAGAGUGAUGUACUGACGGGUGCGAUCAUACCAGCACUAAUGCACCGGAUCCCAUCAGAACUCCGCAGUUAAGCGUGCUUGGGCGAGAGUAGUACUAGGAUGGGUGACCUCCCGGGAAGUCCUCGUGUUGCACCCCUUUUUUAUUUUUUAAUUUUUUUUAGCCUAAAACGAGUCUAAACUUGAAAACCUCAUAACUUUUGAACCGUGAGGAACUACGUCGCCCAUAGCACCAUUUCGGAAAGCCCCAGAAACCAUAAUGGGCGGUGAAUAGGGGGCGCAAUUUUUCGGGCUCAAAUUCAGCCGUUUUGACCCUCAAACGGGCUGCGGAAAGUUAUGGCACGUAAAAAAGAUCGAAAGCGGAUUCUCAAGGUGUUUUUGAUGCUUUCUUAACGCCGUUAACCUCGAUGCACUUUUUCGCUCGAAACAAAACGGCAAGAAAAUCAUGCGCGCCCCACGGCCUUACACUUGGAUUGGCCGCGAAAAGGAUAUAUAGAAACGAGAGUGAUGUACUGACGGGUGCGAUCAUACCAGCACUAAUGCACCGGAUCCCAUCAGAACUCCGCAGUUAAGCGUGCUUGGGCGAGAGUAGUACUAGGAUGGGUGACCUCCCGGGAAGUCCUCGUGUUGCACCCCUUUUUUUUUUUAAUUUUUUUUUAGCCUAAAACGAGUCUAAACUUGAAAACCUCAUAACUUUUGAACCGUGAGGAACUACGUCGCCCAUAGCACCAUUUCGGAGAGCCCCAGAAACCAUAAUGGGCGGUGAAUAGGGGGCGCAAUUUUUCGGGCUCAAAUUCAGCCGUUUUGACCCUCAAACGGGCUGCGGAAAGUUAUGGCACGUAAAAAAGAUCGAAAGCGGAUUCUCAAGGUGUUUUGAUGCUUUCUUAACGCCGUUAACCUCGAUGCACUUUUUCGCUCGAAACAAAACGGCAAGAAAAUCAUGUGGGCCCCACGGCCUUACACUUGGAUUGGCCGCGAAAAGGAUAUAUAGAAACGAGAGUGAUGUACUGACGGGUGCGAUCAUACCAGCACUAAUGCACCGGAUCCCAUCAGAACUCCGCAGUUAAGCGUGCUUGGGCGAGAGUAGUACUAGGAUGGGUGACCUCCCGGGAAGUCCUCGUGUUGCACCCCUUUUUAUUUUUUAAUUUUUUUUUAGCCUAAAACGAGUCUAAACUUGAAAACCUCAUAACUUUUGAACCGUGAGGAACUACGUCGCCCAUAGCACCAUUUCGGAGAGCCCCAGAAACCAUAAUGGGGCGGUGAAUAGGGGGCGCAAUUUUUCGGGCUCAAAUUCAGCCGUUUUGACCCUCAAACGGGCUGCGGAAAGUUAUGGCACGUAAAAAAGAUCGAAAGCGGAUUCUCAAGGUGUUUUUGAUGCUUUCUUAACGCCGUUAACCUCGAUGCACUUUUUCGCUCGAAACAAAACGGCAAGAAAAUCAUGCGCGCCCCACGGCCUUACACUUGGAUUGGCCGCGAAAAGGAUAUAUAGAAACGAGAGUGAUGUACUGACGGGUGCGAUCAUACCAGCACUAAUGCACCGGAUCCCAUCAGAACUCCGCAGUUAAGCGUGCUUGGGCGAGAGUAGUACUAGGAUGGGUGACCUCCCGGGAAGUCCUCGUGUUGCACCCCUUUUUAUUUUUUAUUUUUUUUUUAGCCUAAAACGAGUCUAAACUUGAAAACCUCAUAACUUUUGAACCGUGAGGAACUACGUCGCCCAUAGCACCAUUUCGGAAGAGCCCCAGAAACCAUAAUGGGCGGUGAAUAGGGGGCGCAAUUUUUCGGGCUCAAAUUCAGCCGUUUUGACCCUCAAACGGGCUGCGGAAAGUUAUGGCACGUAAAAAAGAUCGAAAGCGGAUUCUCAAGGUGUUUUUGAUGCUUUCUUAACGCCGUUAACCUCGAUGCACUUUUUCGCUCGAAACAAAACGGCAAGAAAAUCAUGCGCGCCCCACGGCCUUACACUUGGAUUGGCCGCGAAAAGGAUAUAUAGAAACGAGAGUGAUGUACUGACGGGUGCGAUCAUACCAGCACUAAUGCACCGGAUCCCAUCAGAACUCCGCAGCUAAGCGUGCUUGGGCGAGAGUAGUACUAGGAUGGGUGACCUCCCGGGAAGUCCUCGUGUUGCACCCCUUUUUAUUUUUUAAUUUUUUUUUUUGCCUAAAACGAGUCUAAACUUGAAAACCUCAUAACUUUUGAACCGUGAGGAACUACGUCGCCCAUAGCACCAUUUCGGAGAGCCCCAGAAACCAUAAUGGGCGGUGAAUAGGGGGCGCAAUUUUUCGGGCUCAAAUUCAGCCGUUUUGACCCUCAAACGGGCUGCGGAAAGUUAUGGCACGUAAAAAAGAUCGAAAGCGGAUUCUCAAGGUGUUUUUGAUGCUUUCUUAACGCCGUUAACCUCGAUGCACUUUUUCGCUCGAAACAAAACGGCAAGAAAAUCAUGCGCGCCCCACGGCCUUACACUUGGAUUGGCCGCGAAAAGGAUAUAUAGAAACGAGAGUGAUGUACUGACGGGUGCGAUCAUACCAGCACUAAUGCACCGGAUCCCAUCAGAACUCCGCAGUUAAGCGUGCUUGGGCGAGAGUAGUACUAGGAUGGGUGACCUCCCGGGAAGUCCUCGUGUUGCACCCCUUUUUAUUUUUUAAUUUUUUUUUAGCCUAAAACGAGUCUAAACUUGAAAACCUCAUAACUUUUGAACCGUGAGGAACUACGUCGCCCAUAGCACCAUUUCGGAGAGCCCCAGAAACCAUAAUGGGCGGUGAAUAGGGGGCGCAAUUUUUCGGGCUCAAAUUCAGCCGUUUUGACCCUCAAACGGGCUGCGGAAAGUUAUGGCACGUAAAAAAGAUCGAAAGCGGAUUCUCAAGGUGUUUUUGAUGCUUUCUUAACGCCGUUAACCUCGAUGCACUUUUUCGCUCGAAACAAAACGGCAAGAAAAUCAUGCGCGCCCCACGGCCUUACACUUGGAUUGGCCGCGAAAAGGAUAUAUAGAAACGAGAGUGAUGUACUGACGGGUGCGAUCAUACCAGCACUAAUGCACCGGAUCCCAUCAGAACUCCGCAGUUAAGCGUGCUUGGGCGAGAGUAGUACUAGGAUGGGUGACCUCCCGGGAAGUCCUCGUGUUGCACCCCUUUUUAUUUUUUAAUUUUUUUUAGCCUAAAACGAGUCUAAACUUGAAAACCUCAUAACUUUUGAACCGUGAGGAACUACGUCGCCCAUAGCACCAUUUCGGAGAGCCCCAGAAACCAUAAUGGGCGGUGAAUAGGGGGCGCAAUUUUUCGGGCUCAAAUUCAGCCGUUUUGACCCUCAAACGGGCUGCGGAAAGUUAUGGCACGUAAAAAAGAUCGAAAGCGGAUUCUCAAGGUGUUUUUGAUGCUUUCUUAACGCCGUUAACCUCGAUGCACUUUUUCGCUCGAAACAAAACGGCAAGAAAAUCAUGCGCGCCCACGGCCUUACACUUGGAUUGGCCGCGAAAAGGAUAUAUAGAAACGAGAGUGAUGUACUGACGGGUGCGAUCAUACCAGCACUAAUGCACCGGAUCCCAUCAGAACUCCGCAGUAAGCGUGCUUGGGCGAGAGUAGUACUAGGAUGGGUGACCUCCCGGGAAGUCCUCGUGUUGCACCCCUUUUUAUUUUUUAAUUUUUUUUUAGCCUAAAACGAGUCUAAACUUGAAAACCUCAUAACUUUUGAACCGUGAGGAACUACGUCGCCCAUAGCACCAUUUCGGAGAGCCCCAGAAACCAUAAUGGGCGGUGAAUAGGGGGCGCAAUUUUUCGGGCUCAAAUUCAGCCGUUUUGACCCUCAAACGGGCUGCGGAAAGUUAUGGCACGUAAAAAAGAUCGAAAGCGGAUUCUCAAGGUGUUUUUGAUGCUUUCUUAACGCCGUUAACCUCGAUGCACUUUUUCGCUCGAAACAAAACGGCAAGAAAAUCAUGCGCGCCCCACGGCCUUACACUUGGAUUGGCCGCGAAAAGGAUAUAUAGAAACGAGAGUGAUGUACUGACGGGUGCGAUCAUACCAGCACUAAUGCACCGGAUCCCAUCAGAACUCCGCAGUUAAGCGUGCUUGGGCGAGAGUAGUACUAGGAUGGGUGACCUCCCGGGAAGUCCUCGUGUUGCACCCCUUUUUAUUUUUAAUUUUUUUUUAGCCUAAAACGAGUCUAAACUUGAAAACCUCAUAACUUUUGAACCGUGAGGAACUACGUCGCCCAUAGCACCAUUUCGGAAAGCCCCAGAAACCAUAAUGGGCGGUGAAUAGGGGGCGCAAUUUUUCGGGCUCAAAUUCAGCCGUUUUGACCCUCAAACGGGCUGCGGAAAGUUAUGGCACGUAAAAAAGAUCGAAAGCGGAUUCUCAAGGUGUUUUUGAUGCUUUCUUAACGCCGUUAACCUCGAUGCACUUUUUCGCUCGAAACAAAACGGCAAGAAAAUCAUGCGCGCCCCACGGCCUUACACUUGGAUUGGCCGCGAAAAGGAUAUAUAGAAACGAGAGUGAUGUACUGACGGGUGCGAUCAUACCAGCACUAAUGCACCGGAUCCCAUCAGAACUCCGCAGUUAAGCGUGCUUGGCGCGAGAGUAGUACUAGGAUGGGUGACCUCCCGGGAAGUCCUCGUGUUGCACCCCUUUUUAUUUUUUAAUUUUUUUUUGCCUAAAACGAGUCUAAACUUGAAAACCUCAUAACUUUUGAACCGUGAGGAACUACGUCGCCCAUAGCACCAUUUCGGAGAGCCCCAGAAACCAUAAUGGGCGGUGAAUAGGGGGCGCAAUUUUUCGGGCUCAAAUUCAGCCGUUUUGACCCUCAAACGGGCUGCGGAAAGUUAUGGCACGUAAAAAAGAUCGAAAGCGGAUUCUCAAGGUGUUUUUGAUGCUUUCUUAACGCCGUUAACCUCGAUGCACUUUUUCGCUCGAAACAAAACGGCAAGAAAAUCAUGCGCGCCCACGGCCUUACACUUGGAUUGGCCGCGAAAAGGAUAUAUAGAAACGAGAGUGAUGUACUGACGGGUGCGAUCAUACCAGCACUAAUGCACCGGAUCCCAUCAGAACUCCGCAGUUAAGCGUGCUUGGGCGAGAGUAGUACUAGGAUGGGUGACCUCCCGGGAAGUCCUCGUGUUGCACCCCUUUUAUUUUUUAAUUUUUUUUUGCCUAAAACGAGUCUAAACUUGAAAACCUCAUAACUUUUGAACCGUGAGGAACUACGUCGCCCAUAGCACCAUUUCGGAGAGCCCCAGAAACCAUAAUGGGCGGGUGAAUAGGGGGCGCAAUUUUUCGGGCUCAAAUUCAGCCGUUUUGACCCUCAAACGGGCUGCGGAAAGUUAUGGCACGUAAAAAAGAUCGAAAGCGGAUUCUCAAGGUGUUUUUGAUGCUUUCUUAACGCCGUUAACCUCGAUGCACUUUUUCGCUCGAAACAAAACGGCAAGAAAAUCAUGCGCGCCCCACGGCCUUACACUUGGAUUGGCCGCGAAAAGGAUAUAUAGAAACGAGAGUGAUGUACUGACGGGUGCGAUCAUACCAGCACUAAUGCACCGGAUCCCAUCAGAACUCCGCAGUUAAGCGUGCUUGGGCGAGAGUAGUACUAGGAUGGGUGACCUCCCGGGAAGUCCUCGUGUUGCACCCCUUUUUUUUUAAAUUUUUUUUUAGCCUAAAACGAGUCUAAACUUGAAAACCUCAUAACUUUUGAACCGUGAGGAACUACGUCGCCCAUAGCACCAUUUCGGAGAGCCCCAGAAACCAUAAUGGGCGGGGAAUAGGGGGCGCAAUUUUUCGGGCUCAAAUUCAGCCGUUUUGACCCUCAAACGGGCUGCGGAAAGUUAUGUCACGUAAAAAAGAUCGAAAGCGGAUUCUCAAGGUGUUUUUGAUGCUUUCUUAACGCCGUUAACCUCGAUGCACUUUUUCGCUCGAAACAAAACGGCAAGAAAAUCAUGCGCGCCCCACGGCCUUACACUUGGAUUGGCCGCGAAAAGGAUAUAUAGAAACGAGAGUGAUGUACUGACGGGUGCGAUCAUACCAGCACUAAUGCACCGGAUCCCAUCAGAACUCCGCAGUUAAGCGUGCUUGGGCGAGAGUAGUACUAGGAUGGGUGACCUCCCGGGAAGUCCUCGUGUUGCACCCCUUUUUAUUUUUUAAUUUUUUUUUGCCUAAAACGAGUCUAAACUUGAAAACCUCAUAACUUUUGAACCGUGAGGAACUACGUCGCCCAUAGCACCAUUUCGGAGAGCCCCAGAAACCAUAAUGGGCGGUGAAUAGGGGGCGCAAUUUUUCGGGCUCAAAUUCAGCCGUUUUGACCCUCAAACGGGCUGCGGAAAGUUAUGGCACGUAAAAAAGAUCGAAAGCGGAUUCUCAAGGUGUUUUUGAUGCUUUCUUAACGCCGUUAACCUCGAUGCACUUUUUCGCUCGAAACAAAACGGCAAGAAAAUCAUGCGCGCCCCACGGCCUUACACUUGGAUUGGCCGCGAAAAGGAUAUAUAGAAACGAGAGUGAUGUACUGACGGGUGCGAUCAUACCAGCACUAAUGCACCGGAUCCCAUCAGAACUCCGCAGUUAAGCGUGCUUGGGCGAGAGUAGUACUAGGAUGGGUGACCUCCCGGGAAGUCCUCGUGUUGCACCCCUUUUUUUUUUUAAUUUUUUUUUAGCCUAAAACGAGUCUAAACUUGAAAACCUCAUAACUUUUGAACCGUGAGGAACUACGUCGCCCAUAGCACCAUUUCGGAGAGCCCCAGAAACCAUAAUGGGCGGUGAAUAGGGGGCGCAAUUUUUCGGGCUCAAAUUCAGCCGUUUUGACCCUCAAACGGGCUGCGGAAAGUUAUGGCACGUAAAAAAGAUCGAAAGCGGAUUCUCAAGGUGUUUUUGAUGCUUUCUUAACGCCGUUAACCUCGAUGCACUUUUUCGCUCGAAACAAAACGGCAAGAAAAUCAUGCGCGCCCCACGGCCUUACACUUGGAUUGGCCGCGAAAAGGAUAUAUAGAAACGAGAGUGAUGUACUGACGGGUGCGAUCAUACCAGCACUAAUGCACCGGAUCCCAUCAGAACUCCGCAGUUAAGCGUGCUUGGGCGAGAGUAGUACUAGGAUGGGUGACCUCCCGGGAAGUCCUCGUGUUGCACCCCUUUUUAUUUUUUAAUUUUUUUUUAGCCUAAAACGAGUCUAAACUUGAAAACCUCAUAACUUUUGAACCGUGAGGAACUACGUCGCCCAUAGCACCAUUUCGGAAGCCCAGAAACCAUAAUGGGCGGUGAAUAGGGGGCGCAAUUUUUCGGGCUCAAAUUCAGCCGUUUUGACCCUCAAACGGGCUGCGGAAAGUUAUGGCACGUAAAAAAGAUCGAAAGCGGAUUCUCAAGGUGUUUUUGAUGCUUUCUUAACGCCGUUAACCUCGAUGCACUUUUUCGCUCGAAACAAAACGGCAAGAAAAUCAUGCGCGCCCCACGGCCUUACACUUGGAUUGGCCGCGAAAAGGAUAUAUAGAAACGAGAGUGAUGUACUGACGGGUGCGAUCAUACCAGCACUAAUGCACCGGAUCCCAUCAGAACUCCGCAGUUAAGCGUGCUUGGGCGAGAGUAGUACUAGGAUGGGUGACCUCCCGGGAAGUCCUCGUGUUGCACCCCUUUUUAUUUUUUAAUUUUUUUUUAGCCUAAAACGAGUCUAAACUUGAAAACCUCAUAACUUUUGAACCGUGAGGAACUACGUCGCCCAUAGCACCAUUUCGGAAGCCCCAGAAACCAUAAUGGGCGGUGAAUAGGGGGCGCAAUUUUUCGGGCUCAAAUUCAGCCGUUUUGACCCUCAAACGGGCUGCGGAAAGUUAUGGCACGUAAAAAAGAUCGAAAGCGGAUUCUCAAGGUUGUUUUGAUGCUUUCUUAACGCCGUUAACCUCGAUGCACUUUUUCGCUCGAAACAAAACGGCAAGAAAAUCAUGCGCGCCCCACGGCCUUACACUUGGAUUGGCCGCGAAAAGGAUAUAUAGAAACGAGAGUGAUGUACUGACGGGUGCGAUCAUACCAGCACUAAUGCACCGGAUCCCAUCAGAACUCCGCAGUUAAGCGUGCUUGGGCGAGAGUAGUACUAGGAUGGGUGACCUCCCGGGAAGUCCUCGUGUUGCACCCCUUUUUAUUUUUUAAUUUUUUUUUAGCCUAAAACGAGUCUAAACUUGAAAACCUCAUAACUUUUGAACCGUGAGGAACUACGUCGCCCAUAGCACCAUUUCGGAAGCCCCAGAAACCAUAAUGGGCGGUGAAUAGGGGGCGCAAUUUUUCGGGCUCAAAUUCAGCCGUUUUGACCCUCAAACGGGCUGCGGAAAGUUAUGGCACGUAAAAAAGAUCGAAAGCGGAUUCUCAAGGUGUUUUUGAUGCUUUCUUAACGCCGUUAACCUCGAUGCACUUUUUCGCUCGAAACAAAACGGCAAGAAAAUCAUGCGCGCCCCACGGCCUUACACUUGGAUUGGCCGCGAAAAGGAUAUAUAGAAACGAGAGUGAUGUACUGACGGGUGCGAUCAUACCAGCACUAAUGCACCGGAUCCCAUCAGAACUCCGCAGUUAAGCGUGCUUGGGCGAGAGUAGUACUAGGAUGGGUGACCUCCCGGGAAGUCCUCGUGUUGCACACCUUUUUAUUUUAUAAUUUUUUUUAGCCUAAAACGAGUCUAAACAUGAAAACCUCAUAAAUUUUGAACCGUGAGGAACUACGUCGCCCAUAGCACCAUUGAAAAAGCCCCAGAAACCAUAAUGGGCGGUGAAUAGGGGGCGCAAUGUUUCGGGCUGAAAUUCAGCCGUUUUGACCCUCAAACGGGCUGCGGAAAGUUAUGGCACGUAAAAAAGAUCGAAAGCGGAUUCUCAAGGUGUUUUUGAUGCUUUCUUAACGCCGUUAACCUCGAUGCACUUUUUCGCUCGAAACAAAACGGCAAGAAAAUCAUGCGCGCCCCACGGCCUUACACUUGGAUUGGCCGCGAAAAGGAUAUAUAGAAACGAGAGUGAUGUACUGACGGGUGCGAUCAUACCAGCACUAAUGCACCGGAUCCCAUCAGAACUCCGCAGUUAAGCGUGCUUGGGCGAGAGUAGUACUAGGAUGGGUGACCUCCCGGGAAGUCCUCGUGUUGCACCCCUUUUUAUUUUUUAAUUUUUUUUUAGCCUAAAACGAGUCUAAACUUGAAAACCUCAUAACUUUUGAACCUUGAGGAACUACGUCGCCCAUAGCACCAUUUCGGAAAGCCCCAUAAAACCAUAAUGGGCGGUGAAUAGGGGGCGCAAUUUUUCGGGCUCAAAUUCAGCCGUUUUGACCCUCAAACGGGCUGCGGAAAGUUAUGGCACGUAAAAAAGAUCGAAAGCGGAUUUUCAAGGUGUUUUUGAUGCUUUCUUAACGCCGUUAACCUCGAUGCACUUUUUCGCUCGAAACAAAACGGCAAGAAAAUCAUGCGCGCCCCACGGCCUUACACUUGGAUUGGCCGCGAAAAGGAUAUAUAGAAACGAGAGUGAUGUACUGACGGGUGCGAUCAUACCAGCACUAAUGCACCGGAUCCCAUCAGAACUCCGCAGUUAAGCGUGCUUGGGCGAGAGAGUAGUACUAGGAUGGGUGACCUCCCGGGAAGUCCUCGUGUUGCACCCCUUUUUAUUUUUUAAUUUUUUUUUAGCCUAAAACGAGUCUAAACUUGAAAACCUCAUAACUUUUGAACCGUGAGGAACUACGUCGCCCAUAGCACCAUUUCGGAGAGCCCCAGAAACCAUAAUGGGCGGUGAAUAGGGGGCGCAAUUUUUCGGGCUCAAAUUCAGCCGUUUUGACCCUCAAACGGGCUGCGGAAAGUUAUGGCACGUAAAAAAGAUCGAAAGCGGAUUCUCAAGGUGUUUUUGAUGCUUUCUUAACGCCGUUAACCUCGAUGCACUUUUUCGCUCGAAACAAAACGGCAAAAAAAAUCAUGUGGGCCCCACGGCCUUACACUUGGAUUGGCCGCGAAAAGGAUAUAUAGAAACGAGAGUGAUGUACUGACGGGUGCGAUCAUACCAGCACUAAUGCACCGGAUCCCAUCAGAACUCCGCAGUUAAGCGUGCUUGGGCGAGAGUAGUACUAGGAUGGGUGACCUCCCGGGAAGUCCUCGUGUUGCACCCCUUUUUAUUUUUUAAUUUUUUUUUUUGCCUAAAACGAGUCUAAACUUGAAAACCUCAUAACUUUUGAACCGUGAGGAACUACGUCGCCCAUAGCACCAUUUCGGAAAGCCCCAGAAACCAUAAUGGGCGGUGAAUAGGGGGCGCAAUUUUUCGGGCUCAAAUUCAGCCGUUUUGACCCUCAAACGGGCUGCGGAAAGUUAUGGCACGUAAAAAAGAUCGAAAGCGGAUUCUCAAGGUGUUUUGAUGCUUUCUUAACGCCGUUAACCUCGAUGCACUUUUUCGCUCGAAACAAAACGGCAAGAAAAUCAUGCGCGCCCCACGGCCUUACACUUGGAUUGGCCGCGAAAAGGAUAUAUAGAAACGAGAGUGAUGUACUGACGGGUGCGAUCAUACCAGCACUAAUGCACCGGAUCCCAUCAGAACUCCGCAGUUAAGCGUGCUUGGGCGAGAGUAGUACUAGGAUGGGUGACCUCCCGGGAAGUCCUUGUGUUGCACCCCUUUUAAUUUUUUAAUUUUUUUUUAGCCUAAAACGAGUCUAAACUUGAAAACCUCAUAACUUUUGAACCGUGAGGAACUACGUCGCCCAUAGCACCAUUUCGGAGAGCCCCAGAAACCAUAAUGGGCGGUGAAUAGGGGCGCAAUUUUUCGGGCUCAAAUUCAGCCGUUUUGACCCUCAAACGGGCUGCGGAAAGUUAUGGCACGUAAAAAAGAUCGAAAGCGGAUUCUCAAGGUGCUUUUGAUGCUUUCUUAACGCCGUUAACCUCGAUGCACUUUUUCGCUCGAAACAAAACGGCAAGAAAAUCAUGCGCGCCCCACGGCCUUACACUUGGAUUGGCCGCGAAAAGGAUAUAUAGAAACGAGAGUGAUGUACUGACGGGUGCGAUCAUACCAGCACUAAUGCACCGGAUCCCAUCAGAACUCCGCAGUUAAGCGUGCUUGGGCGAGAGUAGUACUAGGAUGGGUGACCUCCCGGGAAGUCCUCGUGUUGCACCCCUUUUAUUUUUUAAUUUUUUUUUGCCUAAAACGAGUCUAAACUUGAAAACCUCAUAACUUUUGAACCGUGAGGAACUACGUCGCCCAUAGCACCAUUUCGGAGAGCCCCAGAAACCAUAAUGGGCGGUGAAUAGGGGGCGCAAUUUUUCGGGCUCAAAUUCAGCCGUUUUGACCCUCAAACGGGCUGCGGGGAAAGUUAUGGCACGUAAAAAAGAUCGAAAGCGGAUUCUCAAGGUGCUUUUGAUGCUUUCUUAACGCCGUUAACCUCGAUGCACUUUUUCGCUCGAAACAAAACGGCAAGAAAAUCAUGCGCGCCCCACGGCCUUACACUUGGAUUGGCCGCGAAAAGGAUAUAUAGAAACGAGAGUGAUGUACUGACGGGUGCGAUCAUACCAGCACUAAUGCACCGGAUCCCAUCAGAACUCCGCAGUAAGCGUGCUUGGGCGAGAGUAGUACUAGGAUGGGUGACCUCCCGGGAAGUCCUCGUGUUGCACCCCUUUUUAUUUUUUAAUUUUUUUUUAGCCUAAAACGAGUCUAAACUUGAAAACCUCAUAACUUUUGAACCGUGAGGAACUACGUCGCCCAUAGCACCAUUUCGGAAAGCCCCAGAAACCAUAAUGGGCGGUGAAUAGGGGGCGCAAUUUUUCGGGCUCAAAUUCAGCCGUUUUGACCCUCAGACGGGCUGCGGAAAGUUAUGGCACGUAAAAAAGAUCGAAAGCGGAUUCUCAAGUGUUUUGUGUGCUUUCUUAACGCCGUUAACCUCGAUGCACUUUUUCGCUCGAAACAAAACGGCAAGAAAAUCAUGCGCGCCCCACGGCCUUACACUUGGAUUGGCCGCGAAAAGGAUAUAUAGAAACGAGAGUGAUGUACUGACGGGUGCGAUCAUACCAGCACUAAUGCACCGGAUCCCAUCAGAACUCCGCAGUUAAGCGUGCUUGGGCGAGAGUAGUACUAGGAUGGGUGACCUCCCGGGAAGUCCUCGUGUUGCACCCCUUUUUUUUUUUAAUUUUUUUUUAGCCUAAAACGAGUCUAAACUUGAAAACCUCAUAACUUUUGAACCGUGAGGAACUACGUCGCCCAUAGCACCAUUUCGGAAAGCCCCAGAAACCAUAAUGGGCGGUGAAUAGGGGGCGCAAUUUUUCGGGCUCAAAUUCAGCCGUUUUGACCCUCAAACGGGCUGCGGAAAGUUAUGGCACGUAAAAAAGAUCGAACUAUGGAUUCUGAAGGUGUUUUUGAUGCUUUCUUAACGCCGUUAACCUCGAUGCACUUUUUCGCUCGAAACAAAACGGCAAGAAAAUCAUGCGCGCCCCACGGCCUUACACUUGGAUUGGCCGCGAAAAGGAUAUAUAGAAACAAGAGUGAUGUACUGUCGGGUGCGAUCAUACCAGCACUAAUGCACCGGAUCCCAUCAGAACUCCGCAGUUAAGCGUGCUUGGGCGAGAGUAGUACUAGGAUGGGUGACCUCCCGGGAAGUCCUCGUGUUGCACCCCUUUUUUUUUUUAAUUUUUUUUUGCCUAAAACGAGUCUAAACUGAAAACCCAUAACUUUUGAACCGUGAGGAACUACGUCGCCCAUAGCACCAUUUCGGAAGAGCCCCAGAAACCAUAAUGGGCGGUGAAUAGGGGGCGCAAUUUUUCGGGCUCAAAUUCAGCCGUUUUGACCCUCAAACGGGCUGCGGAAAGUUAUGGCACGUAAAAAAGAUCGAAAGCGGAUUCUCAAGGUGUUUUUGAUGCUUUCUUAACGCCGUUAACCUCGAUGCACUUUUUUUCGCUCGAAACAAAACGGCAAGAAAAUCAUGCGCGCCCCACGGCCUUACACUUGGAUUGGCCGCGAAAAGGAUAUAUAGAAACGAGAGUGAUGUACUGACGGGUGCGAUCAUACCAGCACUAAUGCACCGGAUCCCAUCAGAACUCCGCAGUCAAGCGUGCUUGGGCGAGAGUAGUACUAGGAUGGGUGACCUCCCGGGAAGUCCUCGUGUUGCACCCCUUUUUAUUUUUUUAAUUUUUUUUUAGCCUAAAACGAGUCUAAACUUGAAAACCUCAUAACUUUUGAACCGUGAGGAACUACGUCGCCCAUAGCACCAUUUCGGAGAGCCCCAGAAACCAUAAUGGGCGGUGAAUAGGGGGCGCAAUUUUUCGGGCUCAAAUUCAGCCGUUUUGACCCUCAAACGGGCUGCGGAAAGUUAUGGCACGUAAAAAAGAUCGAAAGCGGAUUCUCAAGUGUUUUUGAUGCUUUCUUAACGCCGUUAACCUCGAUGCACUUUUUCGCUCGAAACAAAACGGCAAGAAAAUCAUGCGCGCCCCACGGCCUUACACUUGGAUUGGCGCGAAAAGGAUAUAUAGAAACGAGAGUGAUGUACUGACGGGUGCGAUCAUACCAGCACUAAUGCACCGGAUCCCAUCAGAACUCCGCAGUUAAGCGUGCUUGGGCGAGAGUAGUACUAGGAUGGGUGACCUCCCGGGAAGUCCUCGUGUGUUGCACCCCUUUUUAUUUUUAAUUUUUUUUAGCCUAAAACGAGUCUAAACUUGAAAACCUCAUAACUUUUGAACCGUGAGGAACUACGUCGCCCAUAGCACCAUUUCGGAAAGCCCCAGAAACCAUAAUGGGCGGUGAAUAGGGGGCGCAAUUUUUCGGGCUCAAAUUCAGCCGUUUUGACCCUCAAACGGGCUGCGGAAAGUUAUGGCACGUAAAAAAGAUCGAAAGCGGAUUCUCAAGGUGUUUUUGAUGCUUUCUUAACGCCGUUAACCUCGAUGCACUUUUUCGCUCGAAACAAAACGGCAAGAAAAUCAUGCGCGCCCACGGCCUUACACUUGGAUUGGCCGCGAAAAGGAUAUAUAGAAAGAAACGAGUGAUGUACUGACGGGUGCGAUCAUACCAGCACUAAUGCACCGGAUCCCAUCAGAACUCCGCAGUUAAGCGUGCUUGGGCGAGAGUAGUACUAGGAUGGGUGACCUCCCGGGAAGUCCUCGUGUUGCACCCCUUUUUAUUUUUUAAUUUUUUUUUAGCCUAAACGAGUCUAAACUUGAAAACCUCAUAACUUUUGAACCGUGAGGAACUACGUCGCCCAUAGCACCAUUUCGGAAAGCCCCAGAAACCAUAAUGGGCGGGUGAAUAGGGGGCGCAAUUUUUCGGGCUCAAAUUCAGCCGUUUUGACCCUCAAACGGGCUGCGGAAAGUUAUGGCACGUAAAAAAGAUCGAAAGCGGAUUCUCAAGGUGUUUUGAUGCUUUCUUAACGCCGUUAACCUCGAUGCACUUUUUCGCUCGAAACAAACGGCAAGAAAAUCAUGCGCGCCCCACGGCCUUACACUUGGAUUGGCCGCGAAAAGGAUAUAUAGAAACGAGAGUGAUGUACUGACGGGUGCGAUCAUACCAGCACUAAUGCACCGGAUCCAUCAGAACUCCGCAGUUAAGCGUGCUUGGGCGAGAGUAGUACUAGGAUGGGUGACCUCCCGGGAAGUCCUCGUGUUGCACCCCUUUUUAUUUUUUAAUUUUUUUUUAGCCUAAAACGAGUCUAAACUUGAAAACCCCAUAACUUUUGAACCGUGAGGAACUACGUCGCCCAUAGCACCAUUUCGGAAAGCCCCAGAAACCAUAAUGGGCGGUGAAUAGGGGGCGCAAUUUUUCGGGCUCAAAUUCAGCCGUUUUGACCCUCAAACGGGCUGCGGAAAGUUAUGGCAGAAAAAAAAAGACCGAAAGCGGAUUUUCAAGGUGUUUUUGAUGCUUUCUUAACGCCGUUAACCUCGAUGCACUUUUUCGCUCGAAACAAAACGGCAAGAAAAUCAUGCGCGCCCCACGGCCUUACACUUGGAUUGGCCGCGAAAAGGAUAUAUAGAAACGAGAGUGAUGUACUGUCGGGUGCGAUCAUACCAGCACUAAUGCACCGGAUCCCAUCAGAACUCCGCAGUUAAGCGUGCUUGGGCGAGAGUAGUACUAGGAUGGGUGACCUCCCGGGAAGUCCUCGUGUUGCACCCCUUUUUAUUUUUUAAUUUUUUUAGCCUAAAACGAG